rnacentral:rRNA from 1 species
UACAGAGGGUGCGAGCGUUGUCCGGAAUUAUUGGGCGUAAAGGGCUCGUAGGCGGUCUGUUGCGUCGGGAGUGAAAACUUACAGCUUAACUGUGAGCGUGCUUCCGAUACGGGCAGACUUGAGGUAUUCAGGGGAGAACGGAAUUCCUGGUGUAGCGGUGAAAUGCGCAGAUAUCAGGAGGAACACCGGUGGCGAAGGCGGUUCUCUGGGAAUAUCCUGACGCUGAGGAGCGAAAGUGUGGGGAGCGAACAGG